UACGAACCGUGCGAGCGUUGUUCGGAAUCACUGGGCUUAAAGGGCGCGUAGGCGGCGGAUCAAGUCCGGGGUGAAAGCCCCCAGCUUAACUGGGGAAGUGCCUCGGAUACUGGUUCGCUCGAGGGAGGUAGGGGUCGCGGGAACUUCCGGUGGAGCGGUGAAAUGCGUUGAUAUCGGAAGGAACGCCGGUGGCGAAAGCGCGCGACUGGACCUCUUCUGACGCUGAGGAGCGAAAGCCAGGGGAGCGAACGGG
rnacentral:rRNA from 1 species